UUUUUUUUUUUUGGUUUAUGUCUUGUUUUAGUUGGGUAAAUAUGCUUUAUGUUUUAUGCUUUUGCCGUUUUUAAUUUAAUUAGACGUCAAGCUUGCUGCUAUUUCUGUAAGUAAUUUUGCUUAUGUAUAAAGUAAUUGUGGGGCUUGUCGUUUGGGAAAUCAAUUUUACUAAAGUUGUUAUCGUUAUUGGGUAAUUGAGGUUGUUUAUGACAUUUUUUUUCAAAAAGGUUUAAUCAGGUAUCAAGAUUGAAUAAAAAUGUGAUUUGUAUUUCCUAAUAGUUUUUUUUGUUCUUUUUAUUGGUUUUUAUUCUUCCGUUAAUUAAAUUGGGCAUCAAAAUGAUAAAUAUUGGAUUUUUAAACUUUGCGGACGUCGGACUAUCUUUGGUGAAGGAGAAACAUAUGAACCAAACAAUUUGAUUGUUCCUGUGCAAUUUGGUUGUUAUGCUUUUGUUCGUCUGCCAAUGCCAAGGAGUUGAUGUGAAUAGUUUGGAGGUCUAUUUGUGUUGAGAUGUGUCUUCCUGUAUAAAAAUUUGUUGACGGUCAGCUGUUACUGUUUGAAGAGCUGAUGAAUUAUUUCUCGUGCUACCUUUAUGGAUUUUGUCCUAAGAAUCAACAAUGAUGUGAAGUGGUGUCAAUGGUGAUAUUUGUCUUCGCUUUUGCAUCCUAUGCAUAUAUAUAUCAUGGAAUUCUGUGAGCUAGAAUAGACGAGAUCUGCCCUUGUUUAGCUGAUUUGAUCUUGUGUCAAUACUUAUAGAGGACAACACAUGAAUAAAUAUGAUCACUUUUCUUGUAUUAGUCGAAUUCUAGUAUGAUGCGGUGAUGUUGCACCAUCAAAUUAAUGUGCAAGUUUGGAUGCUUUAUAUCUUCAUGGAUUAUGAGUUUUGUUUGUUUUAUAUGCAGAUACCUCUGCAAUCAAUACAUCCGUUGAAAUGGGAUUUUGGUUUGCCAGAUGAUUUUGACAAGAAUUUAGUCAAAAGGUUCCCAGAUCAUUUUCAGAUUGUUAAAGGAACAAAUGGAUUGGCUUGUUUGAAGCUUGUUCAGUGGCGAGAAGAAUUUGCUGUAUCUGAGCUGCAAAAGAGCAAUGAGAAGAGAGGAUUAGAAAGUGAUAAUGGUGCUGAUGGAAGAAAUGCUUAUAAGUAUCGGGAAUUCAAGAGGGGAAAAUCAGCUUUAGAGUUCGCAAUGAGUUUUCCCAGAGGCUAUGGAGCUCAAAAGAAGGUGAAGGCAUGGAUGGAGGAAUUUCAAAAGCUACCCUACAUCUCUCCUUAUGAGGAUUCCAGGAGGAUUGACCCAAAUAGUGAACUUGUGGAGAAGAGAGUUGUUGGAGUGCUCCAUGAAUUUUUGAGCUUGACUAUUUACAAGAAGACAAAGAGGAAUUACUUGAGGUCCUUGAGAGAGGAGUUAAUUCUUCCCCACAGGUUUACUCGACUAUUUACUAGGUACCCAGGGAUAUUUUACUUAUCGCUAAAAUGUAAGACAACUACUGUUGCACUGAGAGAGGGGUACCGCAGGGGAAGACUAGCGGAACGACAUCCUAUUGCUUGACACAGGGAUAAGUUUCAUCAUGUAAUGAGAACUGGGUUGGUAUACCGAUGUAAAGGGAUUGAAGUUCUACCUCAGCUGGACAGUUUGAUUGAUGAAGCCGAAGAGGACAAAGUUGAAGGUCAAAGCGAAGAAGAAGAGAUUGAAACAAGUGAUGAAUGCUAUGAAGCUGGUACUUCGGAGGUGGAGAGUGCGUCUGAUGAGGAUUAGCAUUGAGUUGUCUGAAUGACCCCUUUUUUUUGUCGGGUUGGGCUAAGAGAUAUUGAGCUCUAUAGGUAGAUAGGUCCUGCUGUGUAACAUUCUAGAUCUGUAUUUCAGUAUUCUUGCUUGAUGCAUGGUCUGGUAUACAAGUGUUACAGAUGGCUUCAUUGCUCAUUCAAAGCGAGAAUAGUAUUUAUUUUUGUAAUUGGCUUACAGAUAUGUUUGCUAAGAUUUUCAUGUUUAGCAUUGCCAUUUAGUAGAGAGCCAGCAACUGGGAUGCAGCAAUUGCUUGGCUUACUUGAACUAAAGACUUGAUGCUGUAUAACAUUUUACCUGAGGAAAUGAAAAAACAUGGAAAUGUGUUGUUUUGAGAUUUUCGUCAUGUGUGCAUGUGAUGUGUUAGACUUUCACCCGGAUUCCCAGACAGUUUCAUCCUUUCCUUGAGGAGCUCCAAGACUAUGCUGCAGUCUCCCAAUUACCAGACAUACAUCUCACUUGCAAUGGAGCUUUCUCGUGAAAAUACAUUUAUUUCUGUGUAUUCAUGGUGCCUUGCAUUAAGAGCCAGGGAAGCUGUUUCUCCCUUCUGUAUCUUAUCAAAACUCCAGGUUCUACCUCGCUAGUUGUGGCUGUCAUAGAUCGGAUGGUAUCAACCUGGCAGUUUGAUGGCUUAAUUAUUUUUCUUUCACUUUGACAAAAAGAAAGAAAAGCACUGGUUUGACAAAACGUUCUCCAGCAUAAUUGUUCAAUAGUGAUGCGAAAAUGGACAAAUAGUUGCACCCAGCAUUACCAAAGUUGUGGUAAGGACUUGCUAAAAAAGUACUAUAGUUGUACAUAUUUUAAUAAUCACAUAAAAUUAUACCUACUUUAAUAAGAAUUGCAAGAAAAUGAAUGGUAAAGUAUCUUUGAUGCAAUUGUAUGUAAUUGUCUUGUUCAUCUUUUCUACUAACAAAACAAAAAUACAAUUUGUGACUUACAACCACGCUUUCAUUUUUAUCAGCCUAUUAUAAAAAUAAGAAAAAACCUUUUCCCGAACCAAGUGCAUUUGUUGAGCCUGUAUAUAACAAGCCAAAUCCAAGUUAAAAAUUGUGAAAUUUCUGUGUUUUUUACUCUUCUGGAAAUGAUAGACAUAUGAAGUUCGUUGUCUCGAAAUAAUCUAGACGAAAUUUUCAACGAAAAUCAUCGUUGAAACGAAGAGUGUGACAUCCAAGCUCCUCAUCUUUGGAUUGGCAACACAUUACUAAUGGAAUGGAAUUGUUUGGAAGGUUGUUGACUACACGAACGUAAUGCCCCUCGAUCGAAGCUAUUACAUGGAUAGUUUCGAAAAAGUAAAAUGAUAAGAUGACUAGAUAUAGAAGGUUUUUCAGUUUGGUCUAUGUCAUUUUGCUCAGUGAAAUUUAACUCUUUGAAUCAGAAAACGCCCUGGAGCUACAUGCAAGAUGGUAAUGUUGUUCCUUUUUUUUUCCUUUUCGCUUAGAGAAAAAACGUUGGAGUGGUUCACUGGGGUUGAAAUUUUAACUUUUGUUGGUUAACGCUAAUUUUAAUAUGAAUGCGGAUAAAGGAUUUGGAAUCACUCAAAAUUUUGGGUAAUCGCUAAUGAGCAUGCAUUGAUUCCAGCCGCAUGGUAAAUAAAUGUCCAUUUUGUGCAAAUAUGGGAAGUAGUUCACAUAAUAAUUAACCAAUUAUCUUUUAUCUCUUUAUUCAACUUCAACAACAUCCCUCUCUCACUCUUAUUAUUUUCUUCCCCUCUUCUUCUGGGAUCUUGUUUCUUUGAAAAUUAAAGCAAAAGUGUCUAUUGAAGGAAACAAUAUGAUGCUGGUCUGUCUAAUGGGUGCUCAAACUCAUUAGGAUAUGUUUUAGAUGUUAGAAUUUUUGAAAAGGUAAAAUUAAUUAGGAAAAGUCUAUAAAUAUGAGAGAGGAUAAUAGUUGUUAGUAUGUGUAUGUGUGUAAUGGAUUCGGUGAAAUUUAAAUGUGUUAACGAGUGCUUAUUGGACACCCGUUAGAAAAAUCGUACGAUGCACACUAAUUAAUUAAUAUGAUUAAAAGAAUAUCAAAAUGAAAACUCGUUAUUCCAAGUGGGAUACAGGGCAGGGGACCGUCCCUGGACAGUUCACGACCAAGGUUUGGCCAAAAAAAAUUAUACAGUCCAGAUUUCAUCUUGUAUCUCGAUUUUAACAACAUGUGUGGGACCUACAAAAUUUUGUUCUAAAAUUAUAUGUUGUUAAAAAUAAGUUACACCAUGUGCAAACAAAGCUAUGUCGUGUGCAAAAUGCAUAUAACUGUCAGGAACGGUUGCAGAAGGUCAUUAUCAUAAACAAGAUCCUCGGUUUUCGAUUGACAACCACUACUAAUGGAAUAGAUUUGUUGAGAAGCCUAUGAUUGGCCGAGCUAAUUAAUUUUGGCUCCAAACAUCUACAAGGCCAAUUUCGGAAAAAAGUAAGGUGGUGUAAUAAACUAUAGCAUUAAUUUUUAUUUUAGUCACUAAAUUUUAAAGUAGGACAAUUUAGUCAUCAAAGUACGAAAAUAGUCCUCCUUUAAAAUCUGUCUUACUUUAAUCCCUAAGGUACAAAAUUUGUCCUAUUUAAUCUCUAAAAUAUUAAAAACCAGUCUCACUUUUAUCUCCAAUGUAUAAAAUUUAUCCUACUUUAAUUCCUAGGUACAAAAUAUAUCCCGCUUAAUUAUAAAUUUUAUUUGACUUCUGCUAACAAUUUUACUUGUCAAAAAAAUUUUCAUAUUUUGGGCACUGAAAUAUCCUAUUUUGAAGUUUAGAAAACGAAAUAAAAAUACAAGUAUAAUUGAAAGAGUGCAAAGUGGAAUUAACUCUAGAUAGUAAGACAUGUACACUAGAAAAAACCCUCCAUCAUUUUUUUUAGGCAAACAUAAAAAAAAAAAAAAAAGAACUGUCCAUCAUUCAUGGUAUAACUUAUCUUGAUUUUGAUCGAAAUGAUACAUGCCAAGCUUCCUCCUCCUACGUUCUCGCCAAGGAUUGACUGUUGAUGUUGAUUAAUCACAUAAAUAUGGCGCAUUUACUCUUAUAGCUGUCAAUAAAUGUUAGUUGCCAAUCAAGGCAACAUUUCAAGUCCUUUAAUUACAGAAGGUUUGGCGAAAUAAAUCAUUUGGCUCACAGGUGUUGUGACUGUUGUCAACGUUCUUUACUAAUAUGAAUAGGACUGCAAAUAAUGGAACAAUUUUGGUAGAGAAAUGUUAUAGUAAGCAUUAAUUAGUAUACCAAAAAAAAAAAAGCUCCUGAUGUUAUCUUUCUUUUCUUAUCUUCUUUAUUCCAUCCAGUUUUUUUUUUUAGGCUUAUAUAUGAAUUUCUUAACUUUGUAAAGUUUUUGUAGGCAUAUCUAGCCUAAACUAGCCUACUCCUACUGGGGGGAGCCUACUCCAGAGAGUGGCUCAACUAAAUCGGAGAAAUUUGAUAGGAACUAAAUUACUAUCAGACCAGACGGAUGCACCCCACUCUCGUAUGAAUUUAUAACAAGCCUCGUAGAGAGGCAUAUUAAUAGGAGGUAAGAUUUGAACCCUUGACCUUCUACCUCACAAUUAAUGUGGUGGCCAACUCCUCCGGAGGGAUUUGGUUAACUUUGUAAAUUUAGUUCGACACACAAAUUCCUCUAGCAAGCCUUGUUUGAAAGGUGAGUUUUUUUAGAGUUUAUCUAAAAUUUUACUGUGACUUGCUGUAGAAGUUUUUUUAAAAUUUUUUGAAAUGUGUAGAUUUUUAAAUAUUUUGAAGUGUAUAAUUUAAAAAUUUUGAGAAAUUUUUUGAGAUUAUUAUAACUAAAGUUUUUAAAAAAAACUUAUAGCGACAAACUUGGCAAAAAAACUUAACUUCCAAACAAGGCCAAAACAUGCGCAGGAGGGAUUCAGUUUCCAGCAGGCGGCAGCCAAUUUAAGGGAGAUAAAAAAAACUUAUAGCGACAAACUUGGCAAAAAAACUUAACUUCCAAACAAGGCCAAAACAUGCGCAGGAGGGAUUCAGUUUCCAGCAGGCGGCAGCCAAUUUAAGGGAGAUACUGUCCGCUAAUAAAUAAAUAUAUAUAUGCAAUAAAUAAAAUCUUCACAAAUCAUAGAGUAAUAUAUGUGUACAGUGGGGACUUGUACGCCCGCAACAUCAUCUAGAAGCCACAUAUUGCACUGAUCUUGAGUUCCAGACAUCCCUUUGGUCCCUAAAAGACCCUUGAAUCAUUUUUGACUCUUCCGCAGCACAUCACAGGCCUUGUAAGGAGCCAAAAGUUUCCCCCAACAAAGUCCAUGUAAUUAGCUCCUCGCCAAGUUCCAUAAAAUUCCAAAACUUGAAAAAAAUACAUUGAUCGGUGACAGAAAAUCCCAGCCAGAUUUUCAAGAUUCAAAUUACCAUGCUAACAAUCUCUAAGCCAGAUCAGUUCCUCCAUAAUGUACAAAGAGACACCAAUAUCUUUAACCUUCCAAUGGUUAUACUACAAAACAAAAGGCACUUAUCAGGGGCAGGGAUUUGGGAACCUUGAAUGCACCUUGUUAACAUCUCCAAUAAUGUCAUCACUCAGAUUGACACUGCAGGCAUUGAGAACCUCUUGGAUUUGUCACACUGUUGUAGCUCCAAAAAUGGCACUUGCAACAAGAGGGUGUCGAAGAACAAAGGCUGCACAGAGAAAACUUCACGAUUACAAAGCUGAGGAUAUCUUUAAAGAAGCAUUAUCUUAUAUAGAAUACUAUAGUAUGAGCAUAAUAGUUUUUUUUAGAACCACCAACACUUGAGCCAAACCAUCAGCAGGAGGUACCUCACCUUGAGUGAAGCCAAAUGCAGAUAAUCCGAAAAUCUCCUACUCAUUACACGAAUAAACAACUCAUAGGGGAAGUUUAUAACUCGGAAAUUUCUUCAGUAUCAUUAUGUUCAGAGACUCCGAGACACCAACUAUUAGCAUAAUAACAACUCAUCCAGCAACUAGCACUUUUAAAAUGUAUAGCUUGUUUAUAAGAAACACCUCCAAAAUAAGCUUGCAAAUACAAUAUGCAGUAUCACUGCAAAAGGCCUGAUGGUUGAAUAUAACUGGUUGUUGACUUUUUCUUUUUUCUAUAUUCUCAGGGGAAAAGCAUCUUUAUUUGCACCUUUCGAAGGACUAAUGGUCCUGGACCACAAAAACAAAAUAAAAUAAUAUAAAAAGCAAAAUCAACUAUUGGUGGUUUUCGAUGUUAAGAACUCUUUUUGAGAGUUCAAAGAAAAGAAUUUCAGUCAAUUUCCAUAUAUCAGUCAGUGGAUCAGGUUAGAAAGGGUGAAUAGAAAUUAAGAGAGAGAGAGAGAGAGAGAGAAUGCACUUAAAGAGACAUUUAACCACUAUGAAGAAAAUAAAAUGACGCAAAAUUCAGGAAAAUUUGAUAUGUAAGCUGGAAUCAACCCAUGCAAGGCUAGGCAUCCCAAUAUAUAGACAAGAGAGAGAGAGAGAGAGAGAGAGUUAUACCAAUUGCAAGAGACACCGGGUGGACGUCGUAUUCUUCAGCAAUUUCAAGAUAUGACUGCACAAUAAAGUAAAAUCUUGAUAAGUAGACAAGAAAAUGUGCUUCUAUGCACAAUCACCCUAUAUGUUUAAAAGAGCAGUUGAUAACAUUAUAACUUGUUUGGCCACAGAAUCCUCCAGAAUGUUCAAUAAAAACAGUUGCAAGCAUAAUAAAACUGCCAAAUAAUAUCAAACAAUGAAUCAAGCUGCAGAAAGAAAAUGAAUUUAGCAAUGCCUGCAAAAUAUCUAGGCAUGAGUUAUUUCCUGUUUCCUUUACAAUCAACCAAAGAUCUCACAAAACCAGCUUGCUUCUCCUCCUAUGAAAAUAAUUGGCUUACUUCAGUGGCUGCCUUUAUAUUGGUCUUUGACAGGCUGUAUCUCGACUCUCCUUCAGCAUAUCUUCCGGACAAAAGGAAGAGACAACUGUUUGACCAAGAUUUGAUAGAAGAAACCAAUGUAACCUCUGAAAGAUUAAAACGAGCAUCUGGCCGACCCUUGUCAAGUGAGAAAUACUUGCCGGAGAGAAUGCCCAUAGCUAAAGGACUGUGUACUAACAGACAAACCCUAAAUAUAAAAUUUUGUUUUGUUUUUGUGUGUUGGGGGGUGGGGGGGUCAGUGCAGGAAAAUGCCAGCAUCAGAAUAAUUUAUUAGACGAUCAUAUGCAUAUAUAAGCAUGAAGGAAAGUUCUUCCACUGGAAUACAGAAUAAGAAGGCCAACAGAAAACUAGAUAAGAGUAGUUUCCUCUGUUCUAUUUCUGGUUGGUGUAGUGCAUAUCUGAUGAAAACUUCAAAGAAGAUGUUUUCACAAAGACCAUCACAUUUAAGCCAAGAAACUUAACUCCUUUCAUAUAUUUGAAGUAUAAACUCUUUUACAGGUUAUGUUCUCAUUCCACUUAAAAAUUCACAAAAUCUCUAUAACUGCCAUGUACCCAAAACCUCAAGAAGAUGCACGAAGCCAGUAAUUGUGAAUACAACAGACAAAAAUUAAGACCAUGAAAAAGUCAAGUACAGCAUGAAUAAGUGCGGUUCAUGGAAACAAGAUGGUCAAAAGGAAUGAGUAUGACGAAUGAUAACUUGCCAGAAGAUACACUAAGUGAAAGAGGUAAAAUGAAGCAAAUAAAUGCGGCUUGAAAGACAAGAGGCUUCAGGUUUGGAAUUUAGACAAAAAAAGAAACAACCAUUGAUGUGUGGCUAAACCAAGAAUGAAGAGUGACAUACAUAUUUAUCACAACAAAAAUGUAAUGAACUCGUAGCAGAAGGCAGUUAAACAUGUUGACAGUACAGUAUAUAACUGAAUAUUGAAAUACAUACUUCAUAGGAUAUUAGUGAGCAAUCACUUUCUCAAUAAUUUUUGGAGCUUCCUAGUGGAUGGAAGGAGUAUUCCCAGUAUAAGUGAGGCUUAACUCAGUUGUGCAGAUCAUACACACAUUCAGUACUAAGGGGUACCUCUCAUGGUGACAGCAUUCAGCCAUCCCAAAAUCAAAGUUCCGGCAAAGCAAGUUGUACGCAUUCUGAAAAUAGGGAAGUGAAUCAUAUAUUAGCUUCACAUACAUAGGGCCAACUAAAGUACAGAGAUGAACACACAUGCAAGAAUAGACAGCAAAACAAACUCAAAUUACUCAAUUAUCUAAAGAAGCCACCUUGAAAAAAAAGCCCCGCCAGAGCAAGUUGCACAAGUUCUGAAAGUAGGGAGGUGAAUCAUACCACAAGCAUAGGGUGCACUAAAAUACAGAGACAAGCAAACACAUGCAAGCAUAGACAACAAAACAAACUCAUAUUACUCAAUUGUCAAAAGGAAGCUACCCAUACAACACCUGCAAAGAUACUAUCCUUGGAUAGUGAGGUUGCUUUUGGGCAAUUUCCAGAAACUUCAUGACUCCAUACGGAGUCUCAUUGCUUAGUCCGAUGUAUCUGAUCUACAAUAACAGUCAACAUUCUGUAACAGGAAUAUAUCACCCUAAAGCAAUAAGUUGAAUACGAGCUGAACUUUUAGGUCAUCUUUACUAACCUUACCAGCAUCAACAGCUCUGCCUAAAGCAUCAAGUUGUUCAUCAAAACUUAUAUGUGAAAUAUAACGGCCAGGAUCAUAGUCAGUUUCUCCAAACAUUGGAACAUAACUGCAAGAAAUCCCAGUGGACAUCAUCCACGAAAACAAACUUUUUUUUUUUUGUUCUGUUUUUUUCUGCAGGGGACAAUAUGUGGGAUUACUUCAGUUAGAUUUGCAAAGGACAGUUACACAUUUUUAGUACGUCAGCUUAUUAUUCUGGAAACAGAAUUUGUUCUAAUGGUUACCCAUUUGCCACAUAGUAUCUAUACAGAAAAGGUCAGGUCAAUGUACAAACCGAUCAGGCCAGUGGAUUUGAUACAAGUCUAUGUAAUCAGUUUGAACACGCUACAAACUGCAAGAAUUUUUGCAAUCCUGUCAGAGAGUAUUUCAACAAAAUCAUCUUGAAAACAAAAACAUACAAGCCCUGCAGUUAAGAACUGCUACCUCAAACACACACAGACACUAGAGACAUACAAUCUCUGAAUGCCAGUGUAAUGAUGUAAGUGUAGAACUAGACCCAGCAGACAACAACAUUAGCACCACUUAGGCACUCAAGAUAUAGGUUUACCCCAUGAGAGCAGAGGGCUACAACCGAAUAACUCAGCCUAUUCUCUAGGGCUUCUGUUAUAUAUAUAUAUAUAUAUAUAUAUAUAUAAUGCAGCAUAUUUUAUACGCCAAUAAAUGUAGGUAAUAUACAAGGAGGUGAGAUUGUGAAAUGGCUCAAGCACAAGAUGUCGAGUUGAAGUAUCAAAUAACACAACGAUUAACGCGCAAAGGUGAACUGAUCAAUGUAUCAGCCCACUAUAUCUGCUUUUGAACGAGUCACCUAGGAAGGCUCUGUUUUGUCAGGCGCUGACCAGAACAAAACUGAAAUUGUCAAAGGGAGGCUUCCCUUCUCAACCUUAACUGGAUCAGCGUAAUAGUGUAAUACCAAAAAUUCAAUCAAUAGCGCAAGUUCAGGAUCCAACCUCAAUCCUUCUGGAUCAUGAAGCAAACUCCAAGACUAUAUAUAUGACACAAUCCAAAGGAAAUAAAACCCCACAAAAACAAGAAACCGUUGGCUAUAGCAGUUUCAUCAAAAGCUCCAUUUUCUAUAUAUUGGAAAACACGAGAAUUAGCCAGAAACAAAAACAAAAUGGGAUCAGCUACCAUGAAAGCUGCUAGUAGUAGCAUUUUUUGCACUUGUCUCUUUUCCAUGAUCAUCAGCUUCAGCUCUAGCUAUGCUAGGCCUUCAUACUAAUCUUUCUUAACUUACAAUAUGAAGGAACAGAUGGGACGCACAAUAGAGCCAUUCUUUGUUGCAUUACAAGUCCUUGUACUUACCAAU
rnacentral:lncRNA from 1 species